UACGAAGGGGGCUAGCGUUGUUCGGAAUCACUGGGCGUAAAGCGCGCGUAGGCGGCUUAGCAAGUCAGAGGUGAAAUGCCGGGGCUUAACCCCGGAACUGCCUUUGAAACUGCUCAAGCUAGAGUACUGGAGGGGAAUGGGGAAUUUCUAAUGUAGCGGUGAAAUGCGUAGAUAUUAGAAGGAACACCGGUGGCGAAGGCGCCAUUCUGGACAGUUACUGACGCUGAGGCGCGAAAGCGUGGGGAUCAAACAGG
rnacentral:rRNA from 1 species